AUACUUACCUGACAGGGGAGACACCAUGAUCACGAAGGUGGUUUUCCCCAGGCAAGGCUUAUCCAUUGCACUUCGGAUGUGCUGACCCCUGCGAUUUCCCCAAAUGUGGAAAACUCGACUGCAUAAAUUGUGGUAGUGCGUUUGCACUCA
rnacentral:snRNA from 1 species